GCUCCUAAGACUUAGAAGGCAGAAGUUAGAACAUAUGUGUUGUCUUCAAUUGUAUUCCCCAGAUCCUCAUUCUUACCAUGACUUUGGCUAGGAAAUAAGAUAUUCAUUAUUUUAAGAAGAAUUGAAUGGAGUUGAGCGGCGAGCAUCAGGAGCAUAAAACAGUUUGAUAUGACAAAGAGACAAGAUCAAGUAGAGGGACAGGCUUUCUGUACUGAGAAGAAUGGCUUUUCCUGUAUGACAACACUUUGGGACUGAAAAUAACAAUGGCUGAAAACUUGAGUCUCUCUCUGAACACGGACAGAUGCUACAUCACCUUAAGGGCUGCUCCUGAUGUCCUCCAGGGUGGCCGUGAGAACUUCCACAUCAUCCAGUAUCCGUCCUUCUUGAACCAGUUUACCGCAUUGCAAAGGUGUCAUUAGCAUGACCGCUUCACUGACGUUCUAACAUCACAAUCAUGUAUCCACAGCAAGACUAAAAGCAACUCAUGCUCUCCCCUUAUAGUGGGCUUCGAUGAUCGUCUUUCUGAGCCAAGGACAGCAACUGUCAAUCCCUUUCAACCGGAUUUGACUCAGUCGCUGAACCAGUGCAGAGAAAGCGAAGACGGUCACUGUACCAGAGAGUGUAUCAUUUUGACAAGACAUCUAUCUCUAGCAGCUGAUUGUCUCCUCACGUCAUGGACAGUGUGCAUCAGUAAGCUUUUCUCCUGGAAUGUUGUAAGUUUGAAAAUCAGUGAACGUAUCUUAUCAGUGUUUUGAUACUAUAAGUAUCAUGAAUAAAUUUAAGGCCACAAAAACUCUAAUGACUGAAUUCCCCCGUUGAAAAUGCAAGAAGACAUCAAGUGGGAUUUACAAACUCAACCAAAAUCUUACUCAUGCUUUGUUUACUUGUCUCUUCAUUCAACGAAUAUGUAUCAAGGUACCAGCACAAAAGAGAAGGUAGGUUAAGAGGUGGUAGGGUUUGUUAGUUUUUUUUCCCUAUACAGGUAUAUGUGAGAGAGACUUUAAAAUAAAUGGAAUGGAGAAUAGAACAUGCUACCUACUUUGAAGAAAUGGUAAGCCGGUAGCAUAUAUAAGGAUGUAAACACGGAGUUAGUGAAUACAAUAGUUAUUCCAACCGAAGUCUAUCUGUAGAUUGAAUAAAGAUAAGUGUCUGGAAGCUUUGCAGAGGCACUGAGAGGAUUGGGAUCUCUUGGCUUUGAGCUCUGUUCAGAAGCUAUGUUGGUGUAGGUGAGAAUUUCUAGACCGGAAACAGAACAGGACGACAGAAUCACUAAAGGUCUAAUGAACAGUCUUAUACAUUACACCAUACCAAAUGAAUGAAUGAAUGAAUAUCCGCUUUGCAUAGCACAUUAACUUCCCAAUGAGCCUCUGCGGCAUACACACAGCCAUUAGAGAAUUCUUUUCAGGGUGUUUCCCUAUUAUAGCCAUUUGGGGAUGUGAGAAAUUACAUUCAACAGCCUGGAAAAGUACCCCCAGAGCUUCCAUUAGCAUCUGUGUCUCAUCUCCUUGUGCUGGUGAGUAUCUCGAUUCACAUCUCCAAUCACUCUGCCCCACUUUUAAUGCUGGCUAAUAAAACCCAAGUACUCAUUAGAAAAUAAAAAUAUUUGCCUGGCAUACCACCAUAAACAAAGCUAUUGGAAUGGUACAUCAUUUUUAUAACUAUAUGCACAUGAAUAUAAUGAGAUAACAAAUGUACUUUAUCCCCAAAAUAAAGAUGCACCAGUUGUGAUCAGAGAAAGUGUGGGAAGCAAGCUCCAUUAGGAACUCUUCAUCAGCACAGUGCUGUGUGUGUGCUCUGGUGACACAGUUGGGUGUUUUCAAUCGGUCUUUGCUAUCCAUUGGCUUGCCUAGUUUUAGAUAAUUUGUUAUGAGCUAUGUGUAAUAACUAACAUCAGUGGUCAAGUUGACAGCAUCUGACCUCACCUGGAAGACUUAUUUCUAGCAGGGCCUGUGAGGAAUUUUGAGAUUCAUUAGCUGAGAUAGGGAUUCCUACCCAGAAUAUGGGUGUCCCCAGUUCUUUGGCUAAGAUCACUGACUGAGAUUACUGACUGAAUAAAAAGAAAGCAGGCAGAGAGGAAGCAUUUUAUCCCACUUUCUCUGCUUGCUGACUGCGGAUGCAACGUGAUCAGCUGACUCAUGCUCCUGUCAUGCCUUCCUUGCAAUGAUGGACUGUACCCUUCUAGUGA